rnacentral:lncRNA from 1 species
UGAUUUGAUGCUGAGUAGGAAAUAAUUCGAACAGUACUUAGCUUGUGCAUAAAAAACAAAACCGCAUGCUGAGUAAAAUUCAGUGGUAUUUCUAUAAUCCGAAUAAUAUAAACUUGAUAUAAGUAUUUGAAAUGCAAAAUGCAACAAGUAACCUAUGUUCAUGUGUUUCAAUUCAAUAGUAUAAUUUUUGCUCAUUCCUUAUUCACAUCUACUAUGAUUUUC